CCUACGGGCGGCAGCAGUGAGGAAUAUUGGUCAAUGGGCGGGCGCCUGAACCAGCCAUGCCGCGUGAAGGCGAGUGCCCUACGGGCGUUAAACUUCUUUUGUGCGGGCGCAAUAAGGGCCACGUGUGGCACGAUGAGUGUACCGCACGAAUAAGCAUAGGCUAACUCCGUGCCAGCAGCCGCGGUAAUACGGGGUCUGCGAGCGUUAUCCGGAUUUAUUUGGUUUAAAGGGUGCGUAGGCGGCUCUUCAGGUCGGCGGUGAAAUACCGGGGCUCAACCCCGGCGCUGCCGUUGAAACCGGAGCGCUAGAAUUCCGAUGCCGUCGGAGGAAUGUGUGGUGUAGCGGUGAAAUGCAUAGAUAUCACACAGAACACCGAUUGCGAAGGCAUCUGACGAAUCGGAGAUUGACGCUGAUGCACGAAAGCGUGGGUAUCGAACAGGAUUAGAUACCCUAGUAGUC
rnacentral:rRNA from 1 species